rnacentral:rRNA from 1 species
AUGGCCUCGACGGAGCACGGCGACAAGCUGCGGAUCCUGAUUGUGCCCUUCUUCGCCACCAGCCACAUCGCCCCCCACACCGAGCUCGCUGUCCGCCUCGCCGCGGCCAGGCCGGGCGCCGUCGAGCCUACGGUGGCGGUCACCCCGGCCAACGUCUCGGUCGUUCGGUCCGCGCUCGACCGGCACGGCCACUCCGCAGCGAGCAACGCCGUCAGGAUAGCCACCUACCCGUUCCCGGACGUGGAUGGCCUCACGCCUGGCGUGGAGAACCUCUCCGCCGCCGGGGCCGACGCGUGGCGCAUCGAUGCCGCGGCCGUCGACGAGGGGCUGACGCGGCCCGCGCAGGAGGCUCUCAUCAGAAAGCUGUCCCCUGACGCCCUCGUCACAGAUGUCCACUUCUUCUGGAACUCCACCGUCGCCGAUGAAGUCGGCGUGCCGUGCGUUACCUUCAGUGUCGUUGGCCUCUUCUCAAGGCUUGCCAUGCGUCACCUCCGAGGCGCCGUCGAGAGCGACCCGGACUGCCAGGAGGUGAUCGUCCCUGGGUUUCCAGGGCCGGAGAUACGGAUCCCGAGGACUGAACUGCCGGAGUUCUUAAGGUGCCAAGCGAAACACGACCGAUUCGGAGGCCCGAUCAUGGCGGGGCAAGCCAGGUGCUUCGGCCUCGCCGUCAACAUGUUCUUGGACCUGGAACGGCAGUACUGCGAGUCCUACACGCAAGGCCACGUGAAGCGCGCCUACUUCGUCGGCCCAGUGUCGCUGCCGUUGCCACCGGCCGGAGCCAGCGGCGGCGGCGAGGCGUCGUGCAUCAGUUGGCUGGGCUCGAUGCCAAGACACUCGGUGGUGUACGUAUGCUUCGGCACCUACGCUUCGAUCUCGAAUGGUCAGCUCGGGGAGCUGGCUCUCGGAUUGGAAGCCUCCGGCAAGCCGUUCUUGUGGGCGCUGAGGGCCGAGGGGUGGGCGCCGCCGGCGGGGUGGGAGGAGCGUGUCGGGAAGAGGGGGAUGCUCGUCAGAGGGUGGGCUCCACAGACCGCGAUCCUGGCCCAUCCAGCCGUUGGGGCGUUCCUGACGCACUGCGGGUCGAGCUCGCUGCUUGAGGCGGCGGCGGCCGGCGUGCCGAUGCUGACGUGGCCGCUGGUGUUCGACCAGUUCAUCGAGGAGAGGCUGGUCACGGACGUUCUCAAGAUUGGCGAGAGGGUGUGGGACGGGCCACGGAGCGCGAGGUACGAGGAGCAGCAGACGGUGCCGGCGGCCGCGGUGGCGCGGGCCGUGGCGAGGUUCUUGGAGCCCGGGGGAACAGGGGAGGCGGCAAGGGGCCGGGCGCAGGAGCUCGCCGUGAACGCUCACGCCGCUGUGGCGGAAGGCGGGUCGUCGUACAAUGAUCUGCACAGGCUUAUCAGUGAUCUGAUGGAAACACGGAAGAUCUAG